rnacentral:rRNA from 1 species
UACGGAGGGUCCGAGUUCUCUCCGGAAUCAUUGGGUUUAAAGGCUCCGCAUGCGGUCCUCUAGGUCAGAGGUGAAAGUUUGCGGCUCAACCGGAAAAUUGCCUUUGAUACUGCUGCUCUUGAGCUGCGGUGAAGUGCCCGGAAUAUGUGGUGUAGCGGCGAGAGGCAUACAUAUCACAUAGAACACCGAUUGCGAGGGCGGGUCACUACACCGCGCACUGACGCUGAUGGACGAAAGCGUGGGGAGCAAACGGGAUUAGAUACCCCGGUAGUCCACGCCGUAAACGAUGGACACUAGCUGUCGGGCUUUCGGGCUCGGCGGCCAAGCGAAAGUGAUAAGUGUCCCACCUGGGGAGUACGUUCGCAAGAAUGAAACUCAAAGGAAUUGACGGGGGCCCGCACAAGCGGUGGAGCAUGUGGUUUAAUUCGAUGAUACGCGAGGAACCUUACCAGGGCUUAAAUGUAGUGGGACAGGCUUAGAGAUAGGCUUUUCUUCGGACUCAUUACAAGGUGCUGCAUGGUUGUCGUCAGCUCCUGCCGUGAGGAGUCAGGGUAACUCCUAUAACGAGCGCAACCCUUACCGGUAGUUCCCAGCGAGUCAAGUCGGGGACUCUAACGGGACUCGCCGGUGCAAACUCGUGAGGAAGGUGGGGAGGACGUCAAAUCAUCACGGGCUCUACGUCAUGGGCUACACACUGUGCUACAAUGGCCGGUACAACGAGCAGCCACUGCGCAAGCAGGAGCGAAUGUAUAAAACCCAUCACAGUUCGGAUCGGGGUGGGCAACCCGACCCCGUGAAACUGGAAUCGCUAGUAAUCGGAUAUCAGCCAUGAUCCGGUGAAUACGUUCCCGGUCCU